rnacentral:lncRNA from 1 species
UUUAAAAUAAUUUUUUGUAAUUUAUUUAUUAUUUUUAAUGAUUAAAAACCAUUUAAUUUGAUUUAUUAAAUUAAUUAAUCUAUUUUGCAAAAAUAAUUGUCUCUAAAGGACCCUAUAGCGACAGACCCGUCGCUAUAGGUGUUCUUGAGCCUGCCCAGAUAAGCAAGUCAGUCACCGAGUUGGUAUGUUUGACCACAAAUGAAUCUGCGUUCCGGUCGAUUUUUGGGCUUGAUAAUGGUCAGAUCCUGUAGUAUUGAUGCAACACUACAUGAUCUAACCAUCAUUAGGGUUAUAAUGCAUCACACAAGCACGAUCUAGACUUCUAAAAAGUCUGACAAAGCUGUUCUUCAUUUCUGGGUUCUCCAGAAAUGAAGAACAGUUGCUACUACCUCUUUUGGAUCCUUAUAAAAUGCAUAUUUAAGAUUUCUUUGUGUGAUAUGAAGGUUCAUAUAUGUAGUGGAGAUGUCAGUGAACAACUUGAUAUCCUUAGAUUAGUCUAACAACAACAUUACACGAAGAUGUAGGCCGGUCAAACUACUUGUCAGGAACUCGGCUGAUGAAGAUCUGGGUUACCCAGAAUCUUCAUCCGGCGUGAUGGUCAACGCCUGUUUGACCCACAAUUUCUAUGAUUCUGUUACGGUGUUUGGUGAUCUAAAGGCAUGAGUGUGAAGUCCUUAUACGUGUCUACAACAUAUAAACAACAACAUAACAAAAACAAUAACAUACAGUAAGAUCAAAGACUCAGAAAACGUUGUCAGACGAGAUCUGGGCUUCUGGGUUGCCCAGAAACUCAGUCUCUAUGACCGGUCAACGCAGUUUGACUGCUCAUAUCUCUCAAUCCUAUCAUGAUCUGGCCAUGUUUAUAGUUUCAGAUCAAAGUUCUCAUGACAUAGAACACAUUUAUAACAUAAAACAACACAAAGCAAAAAUAGAGAAGGAUUUACAGGCCUUGACAUUAGCUUGGCAGGCCAUAUUUCUAACUUUUUCCAGAUUUUAAAAAUCAUCAAAUCCGAGCAUUUUGAUGUUAUGGAUCUGGGAUUUAACAACCCAGAUCACUAAAAGACACCUUAUUACACAUCUUUAACCAAUCAAUUACAACUUUUAACAUCAAAUCAAAAUAUUUUAAAAAUUAGGGUUCUUAUACCUUUUGAAGCUAUGAUUCUGAUUCUGAUCCUUGAUGAUCUGAUAUUUGAUAGUUAUGGACUGAUCAUGUCUUAUCUUAUAUCACUUUCUCACUCUACAUUUUUCGGAUUUUAGAGAGAGAAGGUCUUGGAGAGAAAUAAAAAUGUAAGUGGCCAUUUCUCUCUCUUUAAUCUCUAUAAAUGACUUGAUGCAAUGGAAUGGCUGGAAAUUUCUGCUGAGAUAGCUCGUAAUUGUCAAAUGCUAUGCUUAGGGUUGGCCACCAACUCACAAUAGGUCAAUUCUUGCAAGUUAAGUCACAAUAAUGCACUAAGGACAUUUUAGUCUUUUCGUAUACAAAAUUAAUGGCAUUCUUAUCAAUUAGCCAAACCCUUAGGGUUUAGGGUUUGGGUUAGGGUUUAUAAUUUGGACCAUUUUAGGAUUUAGGGUUUAACCCUUAACUUGCAAUUUAUUUUUCUAAAAUUUCCAAUUUAGGUUUUUAAAAUAGAAAAUUAACAUUUUCAAAAUUAUAAUUAUAAUUUUCUAAUUAUAUUAAAAUUUCUUAAUCAUUACUUAAAUCUUGCUAAUUAGGAUUAGCAUUUCCUAAUUCCAAUCGCUAAUUAAAUAAUUAGGGUCAAAAUGGUCAUUAGGGUUUAUAAACCACUAAUUAGGGUUUUCAAUAGAAAAAAAAAUAAUUUUCUAAUUUAGAAAUUAAAUUUCGUAAUUAGAUUAGGGUUUUCUAAUUGCUUAAUUUUGAAAAUUAGGAUUAAUAUUUCCUAAUUAAUAUUAAAAUUAUUAAAUUAACACUUAGGUUUUUUUCCCGAAUUAUAAAUUAGGGUUUCUUAUCCCGAAAUUAGGGUUUUCUAAAUUUAAAAUUAGGGUUUACUAAAUAAUUAAGCUUUACCCUAAUUAAUAUUAUAAUUAAUAGCACUUAAGCAUUAUAAUUAUCCUUUACGUUCCAAGAUUAGGGUUUCAUACAUCGAAUUAGGGUUUCGAAUUUCCCCAAACCGACAUUAGUGUUUCAGAACCGGUUUUAGGGUUUCUUGUUAAUCUCUAGGAUUUUCUAACCGAACGUUGACGUUCUUAAUAUAUACGUAGGGUUUGUUACAGAUAUCAUUUAUCUGGUCAACCCUUGACCCUUAACCACAUACUGUACACAUAUUCAUAGAACAUAUUCGCUUAUUCCCUUAAUCAUGAAUAAUUCACCUAAAUCCUUAACAGAAUUUUGAAAUCCUCAAAAUUCUAUCUUAAAAAUAUCAAACACAUACACUUAUUUUCUGUCUAGGUUCAAAUUAUGAACCUUAAAUUAAUUAAUAAAAAUUUUAAAAAUAUUCAAAAUUCUCGGGUUGUCACAUUCACCCCUUCUUCUAAAAAUUUCGUCCCCGAAAUUUACCUUACACCUUACACCAUACACCAUACAUACACAACAUCUCAUGCUACCCAAUAAACCACUCACAAGAGUAAAAAUUUUCAAAUUUUGCUGAGGAGUCAUAUAGACUAUUUGUCUGUCAUUUUCGCAAAGGUUUUAUGGAAAUUCAUCCACAAACUAUCAGAACUUACAGACAUAAAGGGUGAUUAGCCCGAUAUGUCCUGUACUGGCCAAGUACUGAUUUUAUCUGUUUCUCUUCACUGCCAUAGGCACAAAAAUUCUACCUCAGUCUUAUUGGAUUCCGCACCAAUACAAUUUGGUUCGGGAAAUUUCUUUCAAUGAACAUUUAGAGUUUUCAUAAACCUUAGUCUAGCUGAAUCGAAUAGCGUAGACUCAUAUCAAUAAUUCAAUUCAAUCGAAUUAUUUAAGUGUAGCCAAACCCCGUUGACAAAUUAAAUUUUAGUGAUUUUUUUUUUGAGAAUGACGUCAUGAUGCCGUACUGUAUUAACAGUCCGUGUGAGGAUGCCGUCAUUAUAUGACUUUGUCAUAACACAUCAUACAAUAGUGGAAUAACGAUUUUAGAUCAAAUUCACACUAAGUAUUCCUAUAUUUACAACUCCAUCAACUUUUUAUCAUCUCUGCAUCAGGUUACAUGGUACAUGAGUGAUAAAUAAAAUAUAUUUUGAUAUAUCAAAUCAUUUGCGUCUAGCUGAAAUAAGUAGUAUAGACUAUACUUUAAACUGUUUCAAAAAUGAUUACGAGUCUGCAUAUUUUUUUUAAAAGGCACAUAGUGCGUAUUUAGCUUGAUGUCAAAAUUUUGAAGUCUAGCAUAGUUAGGAGUUUUGGAAAACUUAUGUCUUCACUAAUAAUCGUUUUCUUAAACAAUCUAUCUAUUCUUAUUAUCUUUAAUACUCCAUUUACACACAACUAUACCCAGUUCGUAAAACCACACUUAUGAGUCCAUAAAUUGUCACAAUCAUAUGAGUUUAAGAACUUUUCUAGACAGACCGUUGGCGUCCAUUCGCUGAGGGGUUCAGAAACAUUUCAUAUAACUAUGAAUCAAGUAUGUCACAUAAGUAUGAGUUUUAAGAACUUGUACUUAACCUUAUAUCCUCUACCUAUGACCUAACUAUCUGUUAUACACAUGAAAAAUGAAUCACCCUCUUAACAUGCAUAUAUCAAAUAGCGCGACACAACAUUUCAAUGAUUAUAAUUGUCAGAACUUAGUAGUUGUUACACCAAGUAAAAUUCCCCGCCCACACAAGGAAUCAUACAACUCAGCUGCCGACAUGAAUCCUCAAUUGAAUCCCUACCUAACACUAACCCCCUUCUCAAUACGAAUUUCAUUCAACUCGUAUUCAUAUUCCUUUCCUGAAUCUGUACCAAUUUACACAACAAUAUUGCUGUAAACUUUCCAAUCAUCAGAUUGAUUCUUAUCCCAUACUAUAACCUUAUCCGAUCACGGGGUGAUCUCAUCGUAUAUAUUACGAUUCAUUUCUAUAUCUUGAUCAUUUUGUUUUACGAUCUCCUAUCACUGUACUUUUAGUCUUUUAGACUCUAUCUAUUCACCACUACUGUUCAACUUUAUUAUCAGAGUUAGGGAACUCUGUAUCUUUACACUCGCUGAGAUUCAUCUUUGAAUCUUAUCGACUAACUAACUCUGUGUAAGUUAGUACUUAUCCUAAUCAGUGCGGUUAUUAGUCUCAGGUAUUUCUACCUAAGGUUCAUAACCAACAACUUUGAUACUAACUGUGACGACCCCGAAUCCGAGGUCCCGAAUCACCGCGGAUCCGGUUCGAUCAUUCUAACACUAUUACUAUUUGCGGAAGAUAUAAACAUAAAUUGUUUAUACAUUAACUUUACACACUAUUCCCCAAGGUCGAGUAACCUUAACUUAAUACACAAAUCAUAACUUAUUUAACACAUAACAUUAUUAUUACACUAUACUAUUACAAAACUAAUCACGCACAUUAACUUUAAGCUGGAACUGUCUUUAACCUUUCCUUGUAUCUGACGCAUUCGCCUUAAUAUGCAAUGUUUUAUCAUGAUAUAGCAAGGGUUAGCAUAAAAGUUGCCCAGCAAGUUUAAAUUCAAUAAUAUAACGAUAUAUCAUGAUUGAAAGAGUCUGAAUAAUAAGCUGGCUAUAAUUCAACAAUAUAAUUGUGAACUAGCACGAACAAAUUUAUGACUGAACAAGUAUUAUACAUGAACAAAUAUAUCUGAAACCAACUGGUAAUGAAGGUGAUCAGCCUUUCAUACCUGACUUAUACAUGCAAUAUGUACAUAGUAUAAUUCAUGGCAACCAGCAAUGAUUAACCAUAAGCUUAUUCGAAUGAAACAACUCUUAGUAGAGUUCAGUAAAAACAAACUUGCCUGAACCGUUGAUUACCGCUACGCAAUUUAUAACGCUUUAUCCGAAGACCUAAUAUUAGUAAUAUAGAUCUUCAAUAUUAGAAUAAUACCAUCAUAAUAUACUACUAUUAUAUAUAUAGAUAUACAUAAACUAACCUAAACACAUAACACAUAACCUUAUCAGUCUACAACACACAUAAAACUCGGUAUCAAGUCAAACUAUUGCUGUCUGAGUUGAACCCGACACAAAACUGACAUCCCGACGGUCUAGUCAGAUAAUUAUCGAGUCUAAGUUCAAUUAAACUCUGACUUAAUACUUAACAAUUAUCUUAAAUAAUGUUAUUAACAGUUAAAACAUUUAUCGAAGUCUCCUAAUAAUUUUUAAAUAAUUAUUACUAUUUAUCAUGAAUUUUUCAAUCAUUAAACACGUAUUUAAAUGAAUUAAAUACCACAUAAUUCCUUUAUCAUUAAUAUUUAUUUAUUAUCAAAUAUUAAUAAAAUACAUGUCAUAAUAUUAUAAUAUAUUUAUAAUAUAUUAAAGUAUUUUUAAUACCUUAAAAUCACCUUUAUAUGAUUUUUAAACCGUUAAAUUCAUUAUCCGAUAAUACCUAUUAAUAUUAAAAUAUUAAUAUUUUCAUGACAAAAUAUCAAAAGUUAUAUUUUAUAACUUAAAAUAUUUUUAUAACACUUAAAUCAUUUUUAUAUGAUUUAUAAAACAUUAAUUCUAUUUUUCCUUAAUUUAUUUAAUAUAUUUAUUAAAUAAACUAAUUAUCAUUAAUAUUAAUUAAUUAAUGAAUUUCAUCACAGAAUAUUAAAAGUCACUAAAAAUAACUUAAAAUAUUUUCUUUUACCAUAAUAUUAUUUUUCAUAAUUUUUCAUGUAUUAAAAUCAUUUUUAAAUAAUUUAUUUAAUAUUAUAAUUAAAUAAAUUUAAUACCAUUUAUAUUCCAAAAAUAUUAAAUAUUUAUGAAAUAUACUCAAAAUAAUUAAAAACUAUUUUUCAGACUUUAAAAUAAUUUUUUGUAAUUUAUUUAGUAUUUUUAAUAAUUAAAAACCAUUUAAUUUGAUUUAUUAAACUAAUUAAUCUAUUUUCCGAAAAUAAUUGUCACUAAAGGGCCCUAUAGCGACAGACCCGUCGCUAUAGGUGUUCUUGAGCCUGCCCAGAUAAGCAAGUCAGUCACCGAGUUGGUAUGUUUGACCACAAAUGAAUCUGCGUUCCGGUCGAUUUUUGGGCUUGAUAAUGGUCAGAUCCUGUAGUAUUGAUGCAACACUACAUGAUCUAACCAUCAUCAGGGUUAUAAUGCAUCACACAAGCAAGAUCUAGACUUCUAAAAAGUCUGACAAAGUUGUUCUUCAUUUCUGGGUUCUCCAGAAAUGAAGAACAGUUGCUACUACCUCUUUUGGAUCCUUAUAAAAUGCAUAUUUAAGAUUUCUUUGUGUGAUAUGAAGGUUCACAUAUGUAGUGGAGAUGUCAGUGAACAACUUGAUAUCCUUAGAUUAGUCUAACAACAACAUUACACGAAGAUGUAGGCCGGUCAAACUACUUGUCA